AUGUUUGGGGCUGUGGGCACCUGGGCCAGGAGGACGAGGGCUUCGUGCUCCAACCCCAACUUCUUUUGGAGAGGGGCCUGGACGCUGCACCCCGCACACGGACACCCCCACACCCCUCACACCCUGCGGGUCCCGGCCCCAAACCGGUGCCAGCGGGGUCCCAGGGGUGCCACGGGCCGGGCUGCGGGGCAGGGGAUCCGGGAGGGGUCCUGGCUCGUAGGGGGAACCCUCAUUAAACAUCACCCCGGAGUUGGGCUUGCCCCUAAACCACCUCUCCCCCCCCAGCACCCCUCCCCGCGGGGCCGGUCCCUACCUGCGCGGGUGGCAGCGGGGCCCUGCGCGCACAGCAGCGCGCAAAGGAACGCGCAAAGGAGCGCGCAGCGCAGCGCCCCGGCGCACGGCGGGGCCAUGGCACGGCCCGGCACGGCUCGGCACGGCUCGGCACGGCCAGGCACGACUCAGCCCGGCUCGGCACGGCUCGGCACGGCCCGGCCCUUGCAGGGGGGGGGCCCGCCCCCCCGCUGCCCCCCCCCGCCCGCGGGAAAGCCACGGCGGUGCCCCCCCCCCCCCCCCGCAGGGCUGCAGGUUGUGCUGCUCCUGCUGCUCCCACUGCUCGCACUGCACACACAACGCACACGUUGCACGUACACUGUGCACACACACACACACACCAUGCACUGCACACGCACUGCACACACUGCAGACACUGCCCGCACACUGCUCACACGCUGCACCCUGCGCACCCUGCUUGCACAGCUGUCUGUGUGCACACUGCAUGGUGAGCAAACACUGCACACCCCAGACGCUGCACUCACUGCAUGCUGUGUGCACACUGCACGCUGCACACCCCGUGCACAGCACACACCCCCUACAUGCUGCACACCCUGCAUACGCUGCGUACACACUGCACAUGCUGUGUACACACUGCACACACACACUGCACACACACUGCACGCACACUGCAUGCACUGCAUACACACACUGCACACACACACACUGCACACACACUGCACACACACUGCACACCACACGUGCACUGCAUGCACUGCACAUACACGCUUCACACACACACACUGCACACUGCUCACACGCACUGCAAGCACUGCACACACACACUGCACACACGCUGCACACCCCACACCACUGCACACUGCAUAUGCCCUAUGUACACUGCACACGCCAGAUGUGGUGGUGGUGGGAUCCCUCUGGGGUCGCGGCACCGGGGGGAGCCCAACAUCCCCCCCCCGGGGUUCAGCACCCGCAGGGCCGAGCCCCCCCAUCUCCCCCUGACCGUCGGGGUCUCCCCCCCCACACACCCCCCCCGGGGCGCUGCGCUCCUAUGGGAUGCUUGCAGCCGAUCCCGGUGCCCUGCGCCCCCCCCCCCCCCCGCCCCGUGCCCCUGUAAGGUCUCGCCCGAGCCCCCCCGUGGGGGCAACCCCACUCAUGGGGUGUCCUGGAAGGGUCCCGGGGGUGCAUCUCCUCCUCCUCUUCCUCAUCUUCCUCCUCCUCCUCCUCCCUGCCAGCCGCCCUUCCCGCAACCCCGCGCCGGGCCAGCCCUUCCCGGCUCUCCCGGCGAUGAAUUAAUUAUUCAGGGCUAAUUAUUCCCGCGUGGGAAAGCCAGACGGAGCGCCCCAGCCCCGGAGCAGGGAGGGCCAAGCACCCCCAGCCACGCAGGGUGGGGGAGGACACCUCCUUGCACCCCCGCGGCCACCCCCACAUCCUUUCCCCGAGCGGAGCCUCCCACAGCCGCCCCCACGCCCCCCUCCCCCAGGGAAGCCCCCACACCUCUGCAAUAGUGGGGAGUGGAUUUUUUUUUUGGGGGGGGGGGGCGUUGCAGGGCUCUGCAUCACGGCCCUACAAGGGCUUCGCAAGGACGUGGCGGGGGGA
rnacentral:lncRNA from 1 species